AGCAGUCGCCACGGUAAUACGAAGAGGGCUAGCGUUGUUCGGAAUUACUGGGCGUAAAGCGCACGUAGGCGGAUACUUAAGUUAGGGGUGAAAUCCCAGGGCUCAACCCUGGAACUGCCUUUAAUACUGGGUAUCUUGAGUAUGGAAGAGGUGAGUGGAAUUCCGAGUGUAGAGGUGGAAUUCGUAGAUAUUCGGAGGAACACCAGUGGCGAAGGCGGCUCACUGGUCCAUUACUGACGCUGAGGUGCGAAAGCGUGGGGAGCAAACAGGAUUAGAUACCCCCGUAGUCCCUGUCUCUUAUAC
rnacentral:rRNA from 1 species